AAUCCCCACCCUGCGGACCCCGCGCGCCUCGCCUUCUCCCUCUGGUUGGCGAGCGCCUUUCUGCGCCUUCAGGCAUUUUUGCUGAGGCUUUUGUCUGCGCAUGUGCGGGUGGCAUAAAAUGACACUCCAAGAGUCUUUCACCAAACAGGUAGUUGUUCAUUGUUUCAGCAACUAUCUUGGCAACAUCCUCAGACUCAAACUCCACAAAUGCAUAGCCUUUGCCAUUUCCAGUCAUUUUACUUCUGGACAGUCUGAACUGUGUCACAGUGCCAAACUGGGAGAAAUAUGAAAAGAUCUGGGUUUCGUUAAGUAGGGUUGUUCUUGUUUUUUUUGCUGGGUUAUGUGCUUGCAAACCUGCGCCACCUCCUUUUGAAACUGGACAUCUUCCUGCGGGUUAAGCAGUGAGAUCUCAGCCAGGCCAGAAAAAGCUGCCAUGCCAAAAGCGGCCGACACUAACUCCACGCGGUGCUCCUGGAAACGUCGGGCUCCCAGCUCCCAUGAGGCAGAAAACGGGCAUCUAUUCUUUUAACAUACGUAUGUAUACACAGUCCAAGUGAUG
ensembl:lncRNA LIM2-AS1 LIM2 and SIGLEC10 antisense RNA 1